UUAUCAGUGUCCUGGCCCUCCCUGAGAGCCUCGCUUCUUCAUGGUCCUGCUCCAGCAUCCAGAUACCCCUAAAUGACCUAGCUGGGGCCUGGUCAUCCCCGGAGCCUGUCACAUGGGAUGAACCCUCCUCAUGGCAGAUCCCAGGGUCCUGGCCUCCCACUCAGAAGGGGCUGUCUCAGGGUCUCAGAAGUGCUCACAGGACUGUUCCAGCAUGCCAGCCCUCUUCGGGACCAGUCUCGGUGUCCUGGCCCUCCUUAGUGACCCAGCCUCGUGUCCCAGCCCUCCCUAGGUCCUGCCAGAUCCUGGGGGCUGGCCCCCCUCAGUGACCUGUCUCAGAGUCCAGCCAUCUCUGGUUCCUGUCGGGUCUCAGGGUCACAAUCCCCCUUAGUGACCCGAGCUGGCGUUGGACCCUCUUGGAUGACCCAUCCCAGGGUUUGACUCUCCUCGGUGACCUAUCUCAGGGUCUAGCACUUCCUGGUCCCUGUAUGCUGUGUGCUGGCUGUAUCCUGUUCCAGGGAUUUGGGUGUGGACAUACCAGCUCCUGCCCUCAAAUAGUUGACAUUCUCUUGAGAGGAGCAGAUAAAAGACAAGUAAAGACCAAACAAACAGGAUGGGCUGUGGCCAUCUCAUCAGAUAAGUGGAGGGGCAGAGAGAGAGAGAGAGAGACAUAGAAUCUGAAGCAGGCUUCAGGGUCUGUG